rfam:Schistosoma rodhaini strain Burundi genome assembly, scaffold: SROB_scaffold0009908
GUACUGCCGAGGAGUCCUACAAUAGGACGAAAUGGCCGUCCAGUGC